GACAGAGGAUGCAGCGUUAUCCGGAAUGAUUGGGCGUAAAGCGUCUGUAGGUGGCUUUUUAAGUCCGCCGUCAAAUCCCAGGGCUCAACCCUGGACAGGCGGUGGAAACUACCAAGCUGGAGUACGGUAGGGGCAGAGGGAAUUUCCGGUGGAGCGGUGAAAUGCGUAGAGAUCGGAAAGAACACCACGGCGAAAAGCACUCUGCUGGGGCCGACACUGACACUGAGAGACGAAAAGCUAGGGGGAGCGA
rnacentral:rRNA from 1 species